CUGGCCUGCCCAUUGAUUUUUUUUAAAGGCCGCGGUAUAAUGACCGUGCGAAGGUAGCAUAAUAAUUAGUCUUUUAAUUGAAGACUGGAAUGAAAGGUUGGACAAAAAGCAAUCUGUCUCAUCUUAAAAAUUGAAAUUAACUUUUAAGUGAAAAGGCUUAAAUAGUCUUAAAAGACGACAAGACCCUAUAAAACUUUAUAUAAAUAAUUAUAUUUUUAAGCUUAUACGUUUAAAUAAAACUAUUAUUAUUUGUAUUACGUUGGGGCGACGAAAGUAUAACCAAAUAACUGCUUUAUUUUUAAACAAUUAUAUUUGUACCUUAUGACCCUUAUUUUAGAUCAAAAGAAAAAGUUACUUUAGGGAUAACAGCGUAAUUUUUUUUAAGAGUCCUUAUCGACAAAAAAGCUUGCGACCUCGAUGUUGAAUUAAAGUUCCACUAUAAUGCAGCAAUUAUAGAGGUGGGUCUGUUCGACCUUUAAAACUUUACAUGAUUUGAGUUCAAACCGGCGCGAG
rnacentral:rRNA from 1 species